CGCACCUUGCGCUCCUUGGCAUUCCGAGGAGCAUGCCUGUCUGAGCGUCGUUGACAUCUCAAGCGUCGGGCCACCUUUCUCCACGGAGGGUGCGCUUCCGAAGCUUGGAUUUGGAGGUUGACUCCCCUGCGAAGUCUGCGCUUCGCUCCUCCUAAAUUCAGCGGUCGCGGAAAGGUCUCGGGCCCGUCCGGCGUUAUUUAACAAAGCUCAUCGCUUGCGCCCCGGUCCUGAGACACGUCUCCCGGCCCCCCGUCGGUUUGCUUCGGCAUGCCUUCUUUGUGGACUUGACCUCAGAUCAGGUAGGAUUACCCGCUGAACUUAA
rnacentral:misc_RNA from 1 species